AGCCCAGAGUGGAGCUCCCACAGUGCAGCGGCAGGCUGAAGGGCUCCUCAAGCGCGGCCAGAGUGGGCGCGGAGGUCGAGGAGGCGCCAAGAGCGAGCGAGGGCUGCCAGCACGCUGUCACCUCUCACUAUGAACAAUUGGCAGGACAGUCAUGGUCUGGACCUAAGGAAGGUUUGCUCAGGGCUGACCUACCCACGAGCAGCUGCUCCUGGCAGUCUGAGCGCCUUUCAUAUUUCCUGUAUUAACCUUGUGGCGCACAAAGACAGCAUCGAGAACAAGCUAAUGAGAAUCAUCCCUCUCAUCAUGGAACCCGCAUCCCCUGCCUCAAACCAAGCCAUGUGCACACGCACACUUGAUGAUAGCAGAAUCGAGGCAUCUGUUUUUUUUUUUUAGUUUGUAAUACAAUUUUACUCUUCAGAAUAUACUAAAGAUAAUAUUUACAUAUGCGCUGUAUGUCACAUAAUAUUCUAUUUUCUCCUGUUCACUUUAUUGAGGUAUAACUGACAAAAAUUUUAUGUAUUUAUGAUGUUAAAUGUGAUGUUUUGACAUAUGUAUACAUUGUGAAAUGAUUACAUCAAGCUAUCUUUCUUGUGGUGAAAACAUUUAAGAUCUACUUUUUUUUUUUUAGCAACUUUCAAGUACACAGUACAUAUUUUAUUUUAUUUUUUAUUUUUGAGACAGAGUCUCACUCUUUCGCCCAGGCCAGACUGCAGUAGCGCUAUCUCGGCUCACUGCAAGCUCCGCCUCCCGGGUUCACACCAUUCUCCUGCCUCAGCCCCCGGAGUAGCUGGGACUACAGGCGCCCGCCACCACGCCUGGCUAAUUUUUUGUAUUUUUAGUGGAGACCGGGUUUCACUGUGUUAGCCAAGAUGGUCUUGAUCUCCUGACCUCGUGAUCCGCCCACCUCGGCCUCGCAAAGUGCUGGGAUUACAGGCGUGAGCCACCGCGCCCAGCCUA
rnacentral:lncRNA from 1 species